rnacentral:rRNA from 1 species
AGCGAACGCUGGCGGCAGGCCUAACACAUGCAAGUCGAACGAACCCUUCGGGGUUAGUGGCGGACGGGUGAGUAACACGUGGGAACGCGCCUUUAGGUUCGGAAUAACUCAGGGAAACUUGUGCUAAUACCGAAUGUGCCCUUCGGGGGAAAGAUUUAUCGCCUUUAGAGCGGCCCGCGUCUGAUUAGCUAGUUGGUGAGGUAAUGGCUCACCAAGGCUACGAUCAGUAGCUGGUCUGAGAGGAUGACCAGCCACAUUGGGACUGAGACACGGCCCAAACUCCUACGGGAGGCAGCAGUGGGGUAUCUUGGGCAAUGGGCGAAAGCCUGACGCAGCCAUGCCGCGUGGAUGAUGAAGGUCUUAGGAUUGUAAAAUCCUUUCACCGGUGAAGAUAAUGACUGUAGCCGGAGAAGAAGCCCCGGCUAACUUCGUGCCAGCCGCCGCCGUAACAC